rnacentral:lncRNA from 1 species
UGAAACCGGAUUUUAAUAACAUCUAGGGGCGACGUGACCGUCCGAGAUAUAGCGCCUGAGAUCAAACCGGACGUCCCAUCAAUAACCGCCCUUUUAAGUUGCCCCGGCUCUCCCUCUUCCAUCUCCCAACACAACACUAGCACACCUUAUGCUAAAACCUAAGAAGUGGGGAAUACCUGAGAAGAAAGGAGACUAAAGUCAACGCCACAACCGCCAUUGACCACUGAAAAGUCGGUGGAAAUUGGGGGUUUGGUUGCCGCUGAAAGGAAGGAGAUGGAAAGGGAGGCAACUUUCUAGAGAAUAAGAGGUCCGAUUGGCUGGCUCCUGGCUGCCAUAACUUUGUGAAUGGAAUAAAGUAUAAACUGGUAUCAAAUUA